CAGUCGCCACGGUAAUACAGAGGGUGCGAGCGUUAAUCGGAUUUACUGGGCGUAAAGCGUGCGUAGGCGGCUUUUUAAGUCGGAUGUGAAAUCCCUGAGCUUAACUUAGGAAUUGCAUUCGAUACUGGGAAGCUAGAGUAUGGGAGAGGAUGGUAGAAUUCCAGGUGUAGCGGUGAGAUGCGUAGAGAUCUGGAGGAAUACCGAUGGCGAAGGCAGCCAUCUGGCCUAAUACUGACGCUGAGGUACGAAAGCAUGGGGAGCAAACAGGAUUAGAUACCCCGGUAGUCCCUGUCUCUUAUAC
rnacentral:rRNA from 1 species